GGAAGGAUCAUUACCGAACUGUCGACACGAGUUGUUGCUGGUCCUCGACGGGGGCAUGUGCACGCUCUGUUCACACAUCCACUCACACCUGUGCACCCUCUGUAGUUCUGUGGCCUCGGGACUCUGUCCCCUUGCCGUGGUCCUACGUCUUUACACACACACUGUAAUGAAGUCUUAUGGAAUGUAUGUCGCGUCUAACGCAAUACAAUACAACUUUCAGCAACGGAUCUCUUGGCUCUCGCAUCGAUGAAGAACGCAGCGAAAUGCGAUAAGUAAUGUGAAUUGCAGAAUUCAGUGAAUCAUCGAAUCUUUGAACGCACCUUGCGCCCUUUGGCUAUUCUGAAGGGCAUGCCUGUUUGAGUAUCAUGAACAUCUCAACUCUCACGGUUCGCCGUGAUGAGCUUGGACUUUGGGGGUCUUGCCGGCCUGCGGGUUGGCUCCUCUCAAAUUGAUCAGCUUGCCAGUGUUUGGUGGCAUCACGUGUGUGAUAACUAUCUACGCUCGUGGUUCUCCGCCAGGUAACCUUCGGUGACGGAGGUUCGCUGGAGCUCACAAAYGUCUCUCCUCAGUGAGGACAGCUUUUUAACGUUUGAUCUCAAAUCAGGUAGGACUACCCGCUGAACUUAAGCAUAUCAUAAGCGGAGGAUAAGAAACUAACAAGGAUUCCCCUAUUACUGCUAGUGAAGCGGGAAGAUCUCAAAUUUAUAAUCUGGCGUGCCUCUGGCCGUCCGAGUUUGUAUUCUGGAGAAGCGUCUUCUGUGUUGGACCGUGUACAAGUCUCUUGCAACAGGCCGUCAUGACGGUGACAAAUUCC
rnacentral:rRNA from 1 species